CUGCUGAGCCGGGGCAUUAACA
rnacentral:miRNA from 1 species